rnacentral:misc_RNA from 1 species
GAUGAAGAACGCAGCGAAAUGCGAUACGUAGUGUGAAUUGCAGAAUUCAGUGAAUCAUCGAAUCUUUGAACGCACAUUGCACCUCUCGGUAUUCCGGGAGGUAUGCCUGUUCGAGCGUCAUUUGUACCCUCAAGCUCUGCUUGGUGUUGGGUGUUUGUCUCGCCUCUGCGCGCAGACUCGCCUCAAAACGAUUGGCAGCCGGCGUAUUGAUUUCGGAGCGCAGUACAUCUCGCGCUUUGACAACAAAACGACGACGUCCAAAAAGUACAUUUUUUACACUCUUGACCUCGGAUCAGGUAGGGAUACCCGCUGAACUUAAGCAUAUCAAUAAGCGGAGGA